rnacentral:rRNA from 1 species
GUAGUCUGCAACUCGACUACAUGAAGCUGGAAUCGCUAGUAAUCGCGAAUCAGAAUGUCGCGGUGAAUACGUUCCCGGGUCUUGUACACACCGCCCGUCACACCAUGGGAGUCGGGAAUGCCCGAAGUCAGUGACCCAACCGGAAGGAGGGAGCUGCCGAAGGCAGGCUCGAUAACUGGGGUGAAGUCGUAACAAGGUACC